UACAUGGGGUGCAAACGUUGCUCGGAAUUAUUGGGCGUAAAGCGCACGUAGGUGGUCUUUUAAGUCGGAUGUGAAAGCCCUCGGCUCAACCGAGGAAGUGCACCCGAAACUGGAAGGCUUGAGUAUGGAAGAGGGUCGCGGAAUUCCCGGUGUAGAGGUGAAAUUCGUAGAUAUCGGGAGGAACACCGGUGGCGAAGGCGGCGACCUGGGCCAAUACUGACACUGAGGUGCGAAAGCGUGGGGAGCAAACAGG
rnacentral:rRNA from 1 species